GACGAACGCUGGCGGCGUGCCUAAUACAUGCAAGUCGAGCGCAGGAAAUCAUCCGAACCCUUCGGGGGGACGUUGAUGGAAUGAGCGGCGGACGGGUGAGUAACACGUAAAGAACCUGCCCUCAGGUCUGGGAUAACCACGAGAAAUCGGGGCUAAUACCGGAUGGGUCAUCGGACCGCAUGGUCCGAGGAUGAAAGGCGCUUCGGCGUCGCCUGGGGAUGGCUUUGCGGUGCAUUAGCUAGUUGGUGGGGUAAUGGCCCACCAAGGCGACGAUGCAUAGCCGACCUGAGAGGGUGAGCGGCCACACUGGGACUGAGACACGGCCCAGACUCCUACGGGAGGCAGCAGUAGGGAAUCUUCCACAAUGGACGAAAGUCUGAUGGAGCAACGCCGCGUGAACGAUGAAGGCCUUCGGGUCGUAAAGUUCUGUUGUAAGGGAAGAACAAGUGCCGCAGGCAAUGGCGGCACCUUGACGGUACCUUGCGAGAAAGCCACGGCUAACUCCGUGCCAGCCGCCGCAGUAACAC
rnacentral:rRNA from 1 species